UACGUAGGCAGCGAGCGUUGUUCGGAGUUACUGGGCGUAAAGAGUGCGUAGGCGGCGUUCCAAGUUUGGUGUGAAAUCUCCCGGCUUAACUGGGAGGGUGCGCCGAAAACUGGGGUGCUAGAGUGCGGGAGAGGUAAGCGGAAUUCCUGGUGUAGCGGUGAAAUGCGUAGAUAUCAGGAGGAACACCGGCGGUGUAGACGGCUUACUGGACCGUGACUGACGCUGAGGCACGAAAGCGUGGGUAGCAAACAGG
rnacentral:rRNA from 1 species